rnacentral:rRNA from 1 species
AUUGAACGCUGGCGGCAGGCUUAACACAUGCAAGUCGAACGAGUGGCGGACGGGUGAGUAAUGUAUGGGGAUCUGACUGAUGGAGGGGGAUAACUAAUGGAAACGGUAGCAAAUACCGCAUACCAUCAGAUGAACCCAUAGGGGAUUAGCUUGUAGGUGAGGUAACGGCUCACCUAGGCGACGAUCCCUCGCUGGUCUGAUCGGAUGAUCAGCCCCACUGGGAUUGAGACAGGGCCCAGACGCCUACGGGAGGCAGCAGUGGGGAAGAUUGCACAAGGGGCGAAAGCCUGAUGCAGCCAUGCCGCGUGUUUGAAGAAGGCUUUAGGGUUGUAAAGUCCUUUCAGCGGGGAGGCGUUACCCGCAGAAUAAGCACCGGCUAACUCCGUGCCAGCGGCCGCGGUAAUAC